rnacentral:rRNA from 1 species
UACAGAGGGGGCAAGCGUUGUUCGGAAUUACUGGGCGUAAAGAGCUCGUAGGCGGUUUGUUGCGUCGGCUGUGAAAUCCCGAGGCUCAACCUCGGGUCUGCAGUCGAUACGAGCAAACUAGAGUGUUGCAGGGGAGACUGGAAUUCCUGGUGUAGCGGUGAAAUGCGCAGAUAUCAGGAGGAACACCGGUGGCGAAGGCGGGUCUCUGGGCAACAAUUGACGCUGAGGAGCGAAAGCGUGGGGAGCGAACAGG